rnacentral:rRNA from 1 species
UCGCCUGUUUUUCAAAAACAUCGCCUCUUGCUAAGUAUAGUAUAAGAGGUCCCGCCUGCCCAGUGAUCAUUUUUUAACGGCCGCGGUAUUAUGACCGUGCAAAGGUAGCGUAAUCACUUGUCUUUUAAAUAAAGACCCGUAUGAAAGGCAAAACGAGAGUUCAACUGUCUCUUUAAUCUUAUCAGUGAAAUUUAUUUCUCCGUGCAGAAGCGGAGAUAACCAUAUAAGACGAGAAGACCCUAUGGAGCUUUAAAUACAGAACCAACUACAACCACAUUUUUAGCCAACAGGCAAAAAAUUAAUAAGUGUAGUCGUGGUUUAGAUUUUCGGUUGGGGCGACCGCGGAGUAAAAAUUAACCUCCACGACAUAUAAUUUAGAACGACACUUCGAAAACUAAAACAUUUACUUUAAUGACCCACUAAGUGAUCAACGAACCAAGUUACCCUAGGGAUAACAGCGCAAUCCUUUCUAAGAGUCCAUAUCGACGAAUGGGUUUACGACCUCGAUGUUGGAUCAGGACACCCAAAUGGUGCAGCCGCUAUUAAAGGUUCGUUUGUUCAACGAUUAAAGUCCUACGUGAUCUGAGUUCAGACCGGA